CUCUCUUAAACCUUUGGUUUAGUAUUGAAGGAAGAGGACUCGUCCUCCCCUUUGAAAUGACUUGGCAAUUCUUGUUUUGUAUCAAGUGCUUUAGGCUUUAAUAUUAGGUUCUACCACUUAUUAAAUACCCUUUUGUGCUACAAUCCAAGCGGUGGCCUAACAACAUCUCAAA
rnacentral:misc_RNA from 1 species